rnacentral:rRNA from 1 species
AGCGAACGCUGGCGGCAGGCCUAACACAUGCAAGUCGAACGAACUCUUCGGAGUUAGUGGCGGACGGGUGAGUAACACGUGGGAACGUGCCUUUAGGUUCGGAAUAACUCAGGGAAACUUGUGCUAAUACCGAAUGUGCCCUUCGGGGGAAAGAUUUAUCGCCUUUAGAGCGGCCCGCGUCUGAUUAGCUAGUUGGUGAGGUAAAGGCUCACCAAGGCGACGAUCAGUAGCUGGUCUGAGAGGAUGAUCAGCCACAUUGGGACUGAGACACGGCCCAAACCCCUACGGGGGGCAGCAGGGGGGAAUCUUGGGCAAUGGGCGAAAGCCUGACGCGCCCAUGCCGGGUGAAUGAUGAAGGUUUUAGGAUUGUAAAAUUCUUUCCCCGGGGACGAUAAUGACGGUACCCGGAGAAGAAGCCCCGGCUAACUUCGU